rnacentral:rRNA from 1 species
ACGCACGCUGGCGGCGUGCUUAACCCCUGCAAGUCGCACGGAAAGGCCCUGCUUGCAGGGUACUCGAGUGGCGAACGGGUGAGUAACACGUGGGUGAUCUGCCCUGCACUUCGGGAUAAGCCUGGGAAACUGGGUCUAAUACCGGAUAGGAGCCAUUUUUAGUGUGAUGGUUGGAAAGUUUUUUCGGUGUAGGAUGAGCUCGCGGCCUAUCAGCUUGUUGGUGGGGUAAUGGCCUACCAAGGCGGCGACGGGUAGCCGGCCUGAGAGGGUGGACGGCCACAUUGGGACUGAGAUACGGCCCAGACUCCUACGGGAGGCAGCAGUGGGGAAUAUUGCACAAUGGGCGCAAGCCUGAUGCAGCGACGCCGCGUGGGGGAUGACGGCCUUCGGGUUGUAAACUCCUUUCGCUAGGGACGAAGCUUUUUGUGACGGUACCUAGAUAAGAAGCACCGGCUAACUACGUG